rnacentral:rRNA from 1 species
GAUGAACGCUGGCGGCGUGCCUAAUACAUGCAAGUCGAGCGAACAGACGAGGAGCUUGCUUCUCUGACGUUAGCGGCGGACGGGUGAGUAACACGUGGAUAAUAUACCUAUAAGACUGGGAUAAACUCGGGAAAACGGAGCUAAUACAGGAUAAUAUAUAGAACAGCAUGGUUCAAUAGUGAAAGACGGUUUUGUUGUCAAUUAUAGAUGGAUCCGCGCAGCAUUAGCUAGUUGGUAAGGUAACGGCUUAACAAGGCAACGAUGCGUAGCCGACCUGAGAGGGUGAUCUGCCACGCUUGAACUGAUACACGGUCCAAACUCCUACGAGAGGCAGCAGUAGGUAAUCUGCCACGAUGGGCGGAAGCCUGACGGAGCAACGCCGCGUGAGUGAUGAAGGUCUUCGGAUCGUAGAACGCUGUUAUUAGGGAAGAACAAUUGUUUAAGUAACUAUGCACAUCUUGACGGUACCUAAUCAGAAAGCCACGGCUAACUACGUG